AAGUCCUGCCUCAUUGAUUUCCAAAGGUAUACUGAUCGUUUGUACGGCGUCGUUGUGGUUUUUUUUAUACUGCACUCUCAUUUUUCUAUUGAAUUGAGCAGGGAUAUAUAGUACUCAGUCUUUCCAGAUGGAUGAAGAGGAAGGCUUUGGAAGGAGAAGCAGUGCUCAGAAAUUAUAGCAUCGGUCUACGGGGAGAUACAACUAGAGUUGGAGAAUGAUAGGUCGGUAUAUACAGAUAGAUAUGAUUAUCAUGUACUGGUUUUUAAUCAAAUCACAAAGAAGAUUAGAGUAUAAUCAACAUCAUUCCUUGGCUUAUUCUUGCCUUCAUCAUAAGCCCAUUCCCACAUAU